AGCGGCCCUAGCAAGAGGCACAGGCUCGAGGGACCAACCUUACCUCACAUCCUGGCUUGCCCUGCUGGGGAAAGGUGGGGUCCGCUGGCCAGACCCUGACAACCUUCCCGAGCCCCGGAGGUUUCAGCCCUACCACGACUCGCUUUUAUUAGGGUGAAGGAAGCCUAGACGAGCCUGGUCCAAGGACCUCCCUGCUUUCUGGCGGCCUGUUCAGCCAAAGACAGUCGACAAAUAACAGGAUUCCACUGCUUCAGGCUUGAACAAACGGGGGAGACUCUCCUCAUAACCCAGUCUACAAGUGGCUCCACCCCAGGCCUACAGCAUGCAGUCCCAGGAGAGUGGCGUUCACUACAGCAGGUGGGACAGCAGCAGCCGGGAUGAAGUCAGCAUGUCCGCCAUGUCCAGCUCAGAGGAGGCCUCAUGCUAUAAGAGGAUCUCCCAGAAGCUGUGCUCUGGCAAGCUGGGGAUAGCCAUGAAGGUGCUGGGUGGAGUGGCCCUCUUCUGGAUCAUCUUCAUC
rnacentral:lncRNA from 1 species